rnacentral:lncRNA from 1 species
AGCAAAACAACUCUGACUCUAUAUAUAACCACUUCUUCACAUCACAUUCGAUAUGCAUAGAGUGAAAAUGGAGUCUUCUAAGCAGCUCACUGCUCUUCUCUUAAUCUCCAUGUUUUUCAUCUCUUCUGCCGCACCAAUUGCUCUUGAUUGUGUACCCUGCGGCGAUAAACCCCCUCACCACCAUAAUAAACCACCCAAAUCCCCCAAACCACCUACCGGUAAACCACCAACCACCCAUCCUCCCGUUGUCAAACCACCAAAAACCCACCCGCCAGUCGUCAAGCCACCAGUUGUAAGACCACCAAUCACCCUCCCACCGAUCGUCAGACCACCAGUUGUAACCCCACCCAUCGUCAAACCACCAGUUGUAACCCCACCAAUAACCCUUCCACCAGUUGUAACACCACCAAUCACCCUUCCACCCAUCGUUAAACCACCAAUUACCCUCCCACCAGUAGUGAACCCACCAUCUACGAAGCCAGGAACUCCAUGCCCACCACCACCGUUUGUUCCUGCGCCAGCGGCCACCUGCCCCAUUGACGCACUGAAGCUUGGAGCUUGUGUGGAUCUUUUAGGUGGAUUGAUUCAUAUCGGGUUGGGUGACCCUGUGGUGAACAAAUGUUGCCCAAUUCUUGCUGGGCUAGUGGAGCUUGAGGCUGCCGUAUGCUUAUGUACAACACUAAAGCUUAAGUUAUUGAAUAUCAACAUAUAUCUGCCACUUGCUCUUCAGUUGCUUGUUACUUGUGGCAAGACUCCUCCUCCUGGUUACACUUGUUCUAUUUAAGUUUUCAAGAUCCCAUUUUAGGUAACUUUCUUUACUCAUGCAAACCCUAACCUCUCUCUCUCUCUCUCUCUCUCUCUCUCUCUCUCNNNNNNNNNNNNNNNNNNCUCUCUCUCUCUCUCUCUCUCUCUCUCUCUCUCUCUCUCUCUCUCUCUCUCUCUCUCUCUCUCUUGUCGGUGUAAGUGACUAAGAUUGUUUUUUAUGCAUUUCACUUUUUCUUGGUCUUUGGUGUCUUUUAGUUCCAUCGGUUUAAUAUGGGUUUAAGUAAAAUCGUUUUUC